AAAGUUAUCUCAAACUCAACUCAAGUGAAACGUAUUUUCUCCUCCCUCCCUUCCCUACCCCGCUCGUUGUCUGCACUUCUACAGCCAUAGUCUUUGUUUAUACCUUCCCGUUGCUUUCGUUCUUGGCCAUCGCCUCCGCAGCAGUCGUAUUCUUCAAGCGUACAAGUGCCGGCAACCCGGAUUGACAACAUGUGGACUCAAAUCUUCAAUUCCUUCACCUGUGUCACUGUACAAAGCCUCCAUGGAUUUGAGAAGUCCCACUAUCGCUUUGUCUAUUUACUUUUCUAAGGCCAUGUCAACACCCUUGGGAGCUUGGCCACUGCCUGUCUGUUUCCUAGUUUCUUGAUUUUGGGUCAGGGAUCUGUUGUUUUCAAACGAAGGAGAGAGACAGUUAUGAAGGAGAGAGGUGAGAGAGAGGGAGGGUUAGCUAACCUAGGAUUGAACCGUGCUAACCCAAGCUAAUUAAUGUAGGGUUAGCUAACUGGUGUGAGUCCCUCAUUUAUAAUUUUUUAAUUUCAAUUUUGACUAUUUUGGCUUUUAGGGUGCAAUUGUGAAAUAAGUUUAAAAUUAGAGUUGUCUAAGGGGUUAAGUUCAUUUCAGGGUUAAGUUCAUUUCAGGGUGCAAGUAUAACAACUCAUAAAGUUUGGAGUAUUGGGAAUGAUUUAAACUCGUUUACACUUACUUGAAUUUCCCCGUUUCCAGCCAAUGUCUUCUCGACAUCAAAAUCAACAAUAACUAUCACAGUCUCAACCAAACCCUAAAUUUCAUUUUCUGCAAAAUCCCUCACAUAUUUCCCUCAAUUUCCCCAAAUUUGACUCUGCUGCGGUGGCUAUGGUCUGUGUUUAACCCUUUUUUGUGGACAAUUGGGCCUCCCCUGUCCUUCCGCCGAGUCUAUCUGCUUCACUGUUCAAAGGCAACUGAGCUGUAAUGUUUGUAUAUAAAGCUGUAAGUUCUUUAUGCAAAAUAAAUUUCCCUAUACCUCCAACUGAAGUUUUCAUGGUAGUGAGGAGGAACAAGUCAUUCUUGUCCAGUAAGUCUUACUAUUCGAUUAUAAAAGGGCUUAGUAUAGCUGAUGGAAAAUUUCGUGCAAUCCAGCCACUUUUGUGUAGUCUUAUAAAAGAAUAUGGCCUUUUUGAACCUAAGGUAAGUAAGAUACUGGUGCAUUAUAUUUGUCUAGGUAAGGAUGUGAACUGUGCCUUUUAUUUUCUUAGCAAGAUGAAGGAAAAUAAUGUUCCUCUUAGUAUUCCAGUCGGUGCUUUAAGAGCACUUACAAAAAUCGGUAGAUUUUUAUCUGCUUAUGAACUUGUUGUAGGAGCUAAAGAUUAUGGACCAGUAAUGGAUGUUGUUGAUUAUUCUAUUAUGGUUGAUGGACUUUGCAAGGGAGGACAUUUUGUUAAGGCAUUAAACUUGUGUGUUUUAGCUGAAAAGAAAGGAAUUAGUCUUAAUAUAAUCACUUAUAAUUCAGUUAUAAAUGGACUGUGCAACCAGGGAUGUCUUGUUGAAGCUUUUCGGCUUUUCGAUUCGUUAGAGAGAAUAAAAUUGGUUCCUUCAGAAAUUACUUAUUCCACAUUGAUUGAUAAUUUUUGUAAGCAAGGGUAUUUGCUGGACGCUAAGCUAUUAUUUGAGAGGAUGCUGCUCAAAGGCUAUAAAGUGAAUACACGUAUCUAUAAUUCAUUUCUUAAUGGUUAUUGCAAAUUUGGUCAAUUUGCAGAGGCCUUGAAGAUUUUGAAAAAUAUCCAAAUAGAAGGCCUUGAUCUUGAUGAGUUUACUGUUAGCUCUAUAAUUAAUGGUUAUUGUCUAAAGGGUGACAUGGAAGGGGCGCUAAGCUUCUUUUUUGACUAUAAGCAGAAGGGUAUUUCUCCUGAUUUCCUGGGCUUCUCGUACUUGAUUAGAGGUCUAUAUGCCAAGGGAAGGAUGGAAGAGGCCAGAAGCAUCUUACGUGAAAUGCUUCAAUCACAGUCGGCUAUGGAGCUGCUGAAGAGAGUCAACACUGGAGUUGAAACAGAGUCUAUAGAAAGUUUUCUCAUCUUCUUAUGUGAGCAGGGAAGUGUUAAAGAAGCUGUUAUUAUACUUGAUGAGAUUGCAUCUGCGUUUUUCCCAAUUCAGAAGUGCAGUAUUCCUUAUGAAUCACCAGAAAUGCAAAAUCUUUCUGAAUCGGAGGCUUUUAGUUUAUUUUCUCCAAGGACUAUAUCCUCACCUGAAAAGAAGGAUUUGGAUUUUGUGUCUUGUGAUGCAAGGAAUGCUGAUAAAAUGGUUAUGAGCUCUGAGGAUAUGGAAAGAUGUGAAAUUGACCACUUUGACUCGUAUUAUUCCAUAAUUGCUUCACUAUGCUCAAGAGGGGAGGCAUCAGAGGCCAAUAAGUUAGCAAAGGAUAUGCUGGCUAGCUUGGAUGGAACAUCGUGAAAUACUAAUGCCUUGUACUAGAUUGCACCUUCCUCAUCCUUCUAAGUCAAGCUUGCCAUUAUGCAGGGAAAGGGCUAUCAAGAGCAUAUGUGCUAAAGAUGUUCGAUUUGUGGAGUUGGCUAUGUACAACGCGAUGUAGAGAAUCUUGAUGGGAGCUUGGCAUAGCUUUGUUGUGCAAAAGAAGGAUACCUAACAAAACAUGAACAGAAUGAGAAGGAUGAUGGAAGCCAUGGUGGUUUAGGGAUGGUCCUUAUCAGCACAUCCAUUGCAGCUUAUGGGUCUUUCACUUUUGGGUGUUAUGCACAACUUUAUUUGUUGUUUGAUUAUUUAUCAACCCAUUAAGUUAGUUUUUUUUUUUUUUUAAAUACUUUUUUCUGAUUAGUAAAAACUUAUUUCCUUUGAUUCCAAUUCUCUUUGGAGCAAGUAAUGAUUUUAGUUGUUCUAGGAAUACAAGGCUAUGAAUUUGCAGGUGGGAUGCUCUGCACCAACCCAAUUAGGCAUUACGUUUGCUUGUCCAAUUCUAAUGAUUUUUGGCACUCACAUGUAUAAAUUUGCAAAUGCAAUUAUGGAUUUUUUUUA